UACAGAGGGUGCGAGCGUUAAUCGGAAUUACUGGGCGUAAAGCGCGCGUAGGCGGCUUUGCAAGUCGGGUGUGAAAUCCCCAGGCUUAACCUGGGAACUGCAUUCGAGACUGCAUUGCUAGAGUAUGGGAGAGGGAAGUGGAAUUUCCGGUGUAGCGGUGAAAUGCGUAGUUAUCGGAAGGAACAUCAGUGGCGAAAGCGGCGCACUGGACCACAACUGACGCUGAGGCGCGAAAGCUAGGGGAGCAAACAGG
rnacentral:rRNA from 1 species